GUGCCAGGGAAACUGUCGGAGAGAGAGCUCGUAACGGGGCGCAUGAGCUGGAAUGCAGCAGGGUAACAAAUCCAUAAGGGAGGAUAAUGCACUCGGAUCGGAGAGGCCUCUUUUGCCAAGGAGCAAAUGGGAGAGGGAUCCGGAGUGCGGAGAGCUUUUCUCCGAGGUGGCAUGGCCAUCGAACAAUAGACGUCUGGACAGGGAUUUCCAGCGCCUUUUGUUCCCGAAUCCUUGAUUGACUAAAUGACCCAACUACGGCGACCAGCCGAGAAGCUGGAAACAUGGACGGCACUGGACACUGGAAGAAAUAAUAUUUCCAAAAAAGUGCUUCCGCGAAGUCAACAUCAACAAUUUGUGAGAACUAUAAGAUCAGCAAAUAUAUAUAUAUAUAGCUCAUAUUUAAUUUGCUUAAAUAAAGAACGUACUGCUAAAAAUUG
ensembl:ncRNA lncRNA:CR46056 long non-coding RNA:CR46056